rnacentral:sRNA from 1 species
ACUUUCGUUUUCAAACGCCGCGGUCGAUUUCUGAUCAAAUCAUUUUGUGUAUUUUCUUCGCAAGUCGAAUAUAUGAGGAAAGUGUAAAAACAUGAUGAAAGUUAAUAUUUGUCGUAAAUGUAGAAUUUGUGUUUCAGGAUUUCCAAACGUGGUUGGAUGUGUAGCUGACACACAGGUAAAGAUCAAGGCACCGAAUGUUAACGAAGGGGAAUAUGUAAACAGGAAAGGUUUCCAUUCGUUAAACGUCCAGGUAAUAUUUUUUCCAACAAAAUGGACUAUAAAGAUUAAAAUAAUAUAAACACAAUGUAUCAUUAAGUUAAGAUAUAUAGGAUGAGCCAUGUGCGGAUCCAGAAAAAAACAUUCCCGGAGGGGGGGGGGGGGGGGGUCAAGGGUCAAUCCCAACCCUUUGGUUCUGUGCAUGUGUGCAUUUGCUAUUGAAUUUUUUAGACAUUUGGACUUUUAUAGCUAAAUUGGCUGCGUACAAGAUUAUAGCUGCUACAUUAUAGGGCUAUAUAUGUACGUUGCAGCCUCAGUGUUAAACAGUAAGCUAACCUACCCACUACAUGUACGUAAAUAUUUGUAGCCUGAAUAUUUCAUGCAAUGAAUAUAUUAAUCAAAUUCACAAUGGCUAUCUUAGAUACCACUUCGUCACAGACAUGAAACAUAUAUAUUUAGUGAUACUUUGUUCAUCCUAUAAGUUAUGAAGAAUUUUUGCAUGUAUAUUUCAGCUUAAAAUUAACCAAUUAUGUCCAUGUUAUUAUAGUCUGUCCCAAGUUAUUGCUUCCAUCACUUUUUGAUGAUUUUUGAUAAAAAUACAGAUAUGUGUGAAAGAAAAAAAAGUUUAAAUCAAUGAAAUGAAAAAUAUCCAAGAUAUCUUCAUGGACAAAUUAUCCCUUUUCACUCAUAAAAUUUCACAGGAACGAAAACAAAUUUCAUAUGGAAAUUUAUAAUGGGAAAUGUUUACAUCUUUUCUCCAUUCUCCAAGUACUCGGGACACCUCGCCCAAUUUUUCAAUGUUAUCAUCCAGUCUUAUAAAUGGCUGAUGCAAUGCAAAAUCCCUGUAGACUUUCUAUUUGUGGAUGUGUAUUGAAACCUGAAGCGUAGGGGGCGUUUCAAAACAGAUAAUCAGGAAAUUUUUCAUAUUAAAGGAUGAACGUAGUUUAAGCACAAAGGUUUUUACUAUUUAUUAUUAUUCCAACUUCAAAUCAUAGACCUAGUGGCCCACCAAGCUGCUGUUCAAUAUACCUAGACAUCUACGGCCUAGCGGCUAGGCUAGCUGCUAUGAUCUUGAGUGCAGCAUCUUAUCAAGAUGGUUCCACAUUUUUAUUCAUACCAUAUUAUUCACCAAAUUUCCCAAUUUAUUGUUAAACUUUCUUAAUUAUUAUCUAGCAGAAUUUGCUUAACAUUAUCUAGUUAAUUACAACUAUUUCAUUGGACUCAUUUUUUCAAAAUAUUGCAGAUGGUAUGUGGCCCUGAUUUUUGCAUCACAAAUGUUGUUGCUAAAUGGCCAGGAUAUGUGCACGAUUCUAGGAUUUUUAAGGAAUCUGUAUUAUGCAGAGAGUUUGAAAAUGGACACAUACAAGGGAUGCUGUUGGGUGACUCCGGAUAUUCGCUCAAGACUUACUUGAUGACUCCAUAUUUAAACCCCACAGAGGCACACAUGCAGCGAUACAACACGGCACAUUGCAGGACAAGGGUGCUAAUAGAGCAGACUUUCGGGAUUCUAAAAAGAAGAUUCUCCUGUUUGCACAGCGAACUGCGAUUAUCACCACAGAGGGCAUGUGUUGCAGUGGUUGCCUGUUGUGUGUUACACAAUAUUGGCAUCAACAGAGGAGACAUCAUCUCAAAUUUCGAUGACAAUGACCUUAAUGUCGCUGAAGAUGUGAUAGAUGGUGUAGUUGACAUGGGGGGCAAUGGGAAAACUGUGAGGGAUCACAUUGCUCGUAAUUAUUUCUGAAUUACCAGACAAUUAAUGACUUUGCAUCUUUUAAUUCUGGUAAUUCAUUUUUUUUAUCAAAUCAAACUAUACUUUUCAAAAUUGAUAAACAGUUAAUUGUAGAAUAGAAAACUUGUAACCAAUUUUAUUUGAGACAUACAUGUAGUAAUAUUAAGGCAGAUAUUUUAAACAUUCAAAGAACAAAUUUCAAUAUUUUAUAAAUAUACAAAGUUG